CUACACUAUGCACAACCAAAAGCUCUUUUAAGAGCCAUUCACAUUGCAAUAAGAGUAUUCUUCCAUUUACUGAGCUAUGUCAACUGCAGUUAUUCAAUUCCCAAUUUCUCUCCCUUUGAUUUCUACUUCUCAGUAAACAGGCUCAGGUGUAUAACUGUGGCUCCUUCCACCUUCAAAGAAUAGGCAAGAGGGCCAACCAUGGAGAAUAGUUAUAUCAGCUGUGUCGGUGAACCCCUCCUGCAUCUGAACUGGCUACAUAGAGGGCACUGCAUGAUCAGAGGUAUGUUUUGAUGUGAGAGGAUGCCAACCCCCAGUCCCAUCAUCACCACCUCACCUGCUUUUAAGAACCUUUGGGUCGACGAGAGACACUAUUAUGUAAUUGUGAUGAACUGAG
rnacentral:lncRNA from 1 species